AGCUCCAAUAGCGUAUACUAAAUUUGCUGCAGUUAAAAAGCUCGUAGUCGAAAGUGAGGUUUCAGGGCACGGUCUGCCGAAAGGUUUGUGCUGGGUGCUGUUACCUUCCUUCUGUAGACUCCGCCUGCUCUUGAUUGAGUGUGCGGUUGGAUGCAGAUCGUUUACUUUGAAUAAAUUAGAGUGUUCAAAGCAGGCGUUUGCUUGGAUACAUUAGCAUGGAAUAAUGGAAUAGGACUUUGGUUCUAUUUUGUUGGUUUCUAGGACUGAAGUAAUGAUUAAUAGGGAUAGUUGGGGGCAUUCAUAUUUCGAUGUCAGAGGUGAAAUUCUUGGAUUAUCGAAAGAUGAACUUCUGCGAAAGCAUUUGCCAAGGAUAUACCCAUUGAUCAAGAACGAAAGUAGG
rnacentral:rRNA from 1 species